rnacentral:rRNA from 1 species
AGAGAGAGACAUGCGCGCAUAUCAAUAAGCGGAGGAAAAGAAACUAACAAGGAUUCCCCUAGUAACGGCGAGUGAAGCGGGAAGAGCUCAAAUUUGAAAUCUUAAAGGGUUUCCCUUUACGAAUUGUAGUUUAAAGGAGUGUUUUCUGUUGAGGUUUUGGUAAAAGUUCUUUGGAAUAGGACAUCAUAGAGGGUGAGAAUCCCGUAUUUGACCUUUACUUUCAACUUUGUGAUACACUUUCAAAGAGUCAGAUUGUUUGGGAAUGCAGUCCGAAAUGGGUGGUAAAUUUCAUCUAAAGCUAAAUAUUGGCGAGAGACCGAUAGCGAACAAGUACCGUGAGGGAAAGAUGAAAAGAACUUUGAAAAGAGAGUUAAACAGUACGUGAAAUUGUCAAAAGGGAAGCGUUUGACACCAGUGUUGUUUUUCUGAAAAUCAAUUAAAGAACUGUUUAUGCUAAGUCGUUUAGACUUUAUCAGCUAAUCUGUUUAGUUUUGAGCUUUUCUUUAAUGCACUCUUCAGUUAACAAGUCAACAUCAAUUUCUUUUGCUGUAAAAAAGCUUGAGGAAGGUGGCUUGAGAUUCGUCUUAAGUGUUUAUAGCCUCUUGCCUAUGCAGUCGGAGAGAUUGAGGUCUGCAGCGUAGAUCCUUCGGGGCUAAAUGCAUUUGUGCUAAGUUAUAGCAUUUUAUAGACAACUUGUUGACUAUGAUUUGUCUUGUAGCUUACUCGCUUAUGUUAUUUUACCUACGCUUAGGAUGUUGAGCGCAUGUCUCUCUCU